rnacentral:snRNA from 1 species
UGUCCUCCAUAGGAGGUCUAUAUUGAGUAGAUUUUUGGUGUUGGGAGGUGGAACUGGAGCUUGCUCCAUCCCCUCCAUGCAUCGGCCUGGUAUAACAGUGCUUCCGGUAGCAGUGC